UCAGGGUGGGAGCUGAGACUCUGGGGGACUUGGGGAGUAAGACACAGAUGAGGGACUGACGGAGCCCUUCUUGAACAGGGGAACUUAUCUUUCAUCCAGUCAUCCAGGAAUCAAUCAGGAAGAAAACUACAGAGGAGGAAAUCUCAAUUGUUGUGUGCAGUUUUGGUUUCCUUAUUGAGAAAACAGUGUUCUUUCCACAGUCAGAUACAGUGCAGGGUUUUGAGACAGAGUUUCAUUUAUUCUACUGUAACUACUGUGAAUGCCUGCAAGAAUAUGAGCCUCAGAGUUGUAUAUAGUGACAUAUAUGUAGAUUGGUAAUAAAUUUACGUUAAUCAGCACACACAAAACCCUACCUCGCACUUAAUAUUUUCCAACAGCAUCUUCCCCAACACCGACCUCACUGUAUUUUAUAAUGUUUGUUCUCUUUUUGCAGGUGUCAGAGGUCAGUUUUCCACACAAAGAGUGGUGAGUACUCGAAAUGCACUGGCAGUGUCACUGGUGGAGGCGGAUACAACAGGGUCUUUUAAGAAACUCUCAGGUUAACACCUCCGUUCAGAGAGAGAGAACGUCCUACAAACACCUUAACAGUUCGACAUUGGUAGUCAUGGUGAGCACAAAGCAGAUAACAAAAUGGGUGAGCAAACCUUUGGUACACCGUGGUGAACGACAGAGGCACUGGCAUUUUCUUGUGCCCCCAGAAGAAACCUCCCUCCCUGAGAUUUGGUGGUGCCAUGAUGAUGAUAUAAGGCUUGUCCCUUUGAGUACAACAGACCGAACCCCAUGUGUCCUUGCUCACCUAACACCAUCCAUCUGAUACACUCCCAAUCACAUCCUCCCACCAUCGUUAGUAUCUCCAGGAGGCAUUGCCUCAAGAGGGCAACAUUCGUCAUCAAGGAUUGUCAGCAUCCAGGGGACGCCACCUUCUCACAAUUACCGCCGGGCAGGAGGUACAGAAGCCUGAAGUCCCACAACCACCAGGCUCAGCAACAGCUGCUUCCCUUCAACCAUUUGGUUCUUGAACCAACCAGCACCACCCUAAUCACUACAGAAACGGUAGUGGAUUUGUCCCAGUUCAUCGUGGGUGAAGUCCUCUCCACCAUUGAGCACUGUCACAGGAAAGCAUCAUCCAUCAUCAGGGACCCCCACCAGCCAGGUCUUAAUCUCUUCUCACUGCUGCCGUCAGGAGGAAGCUACAGGAGCCUCAGGACUCACCCCACCAGGUUCAGGAACAGUUAUUAUCCCUCAGUCAUUGGGCUCUUGAACCAGAGGGGAUAACUUCAUUCAACUUCACUCACCCCACCACUGAACUGUUCACAACCUAUGGCCUCACUUUCAGGGACUCAUCAUAUUGUGUUCUCAAUAUUUAUUGCUUGUUUGUUAGUUAAUUAAUUAAUCUUUUUGUAUGUGCACAGUUGUUGUCCGUUCUGUUGUGGUCAGUCUUUCAUUGAUUCUAUUGUGUUUCUUGUAUUUACCGUGUAUGCUCACAAAUAAA